AGUGGCAAGGCCUCUGGCCGCCUCGGGGUUGAUGUGGACGGCCCUAGGGCCAGCCCACAGCACCGAACUGACCCCUCCUGCCCUGUAUCCAGUCUUGACGCACACCAGGCUGGGCACUUUCCAGAAACCACCUCUAACCUCCAGGGUUCCCUCAGUAACUCAGCAAGCACCAGUUUGGCUCCUAGGCCGUGCAUUGCCCUGUUCUAAGCAUGGCAGAUAAUAUAGCAGUGAAGAAAGAGUCCAACGGCGCUUGGAGUUUUUAUUCUAAUGGGGAGACAGACCAUCAACAAGACGAGUGAAUGAUAGAAUAUGUCAGAACAGAAAUGUGCAGAAGAAACAAAACAGACAAUAAAAAGAACGGAAAGUGUGAGGGGAAGGGAAACUGCAACUGUGAAGUGGCCAGGGACGGCCUGCUUGCACAGGUGACAUCUGAGCCCUCACAUUAGAGGGAUAAGCUGCGCAGGGGAAGGGCAGUGAUCGGUCCAUUUUACAGAAGGGAGAGCAGAGGCUCAGAGGAGACCGUGAGCGAAUUGGGCAGGAUUCAGCUUAUGAGCAG
rnacentral:sRNA from 1 species